rnacentral:rRNA from 1 species
ACCCUUAGAUGUUCUGGGCUGCACGCGCGCUACACUGAAGGACUCAACGUGCUUGUCUCCUUGGCCGUCAGGUCUGGGUAACCCGUUGAACCUCCUUCGUGCUAGGGAUUGGGGCUUGUAAUUAUUCCCCAUGAACGAGGAAUUCCCAGUAAGCGCGAGUCAUCAUCUCGCGUUGAUUACGUCCCUGCCCUUUGUACACACCGCCCGUCGCUACUACCGAUUGAAUGGUUUAGUGAGAUCCUCGGAUUGGCCAUCUCGGCGUGACUUCGGUUGUGCACGUGGUGGCCGAGAAGACGAUCAAACUUGAUCAUUUAGAGGAAGUAAAAGUCGUANCA